rnacentral:tRNA from 1 species
GGUCUUAUAGUUUAAAAAAAAACUUUAAAUUGCAAAUUUGAUAAUGGUAGUUUAGUAUAUAUCUAAGACUU